rnacentral:rRNA from 1 species
UACGGAGGGUGCUAGCGUUGUUCGGAAUUAUUGGGCGUAAAGAGCGUGUAGGCGGCCUCGUAAGUCAGAUGUGAAAGCCCUUGGCUUAACCAAGGAAGUGCAUUUGAAACUGCUUGGCUUGAGUACGGGAGGGGAAAGCGGAAUUCCCGGUGUAGAGGUGAAAUUCGUAGAUAUCGGGAGGAACACCGGUGGCGAAGGCGGCUUUCUGGACCGAUACUGACGCUGAGACGCGAAAGCGUGGGGAGCAAACAGGAUUAGAAACCCGGGUAGUCC